rnacentral:rRNA from 1 species
AUUGAACGCUGGCGGCAGGCCUAACACAUGCAAGUCGAACGAGUGGCGGACGGGUGAGUAAUGUCUGGGAAACUGCCUGAUGGCGGGGGAUAACUACUGGAAACGGUAGCUAAUACCGCAUACCAUCGGAUGUGCCCAGAUGGGAUUAGCUAGUAGGUGGGGUAAAGGCUCACCAAGGCGACGAUCCCUAGCUGGUUUGAGAGGAGGACCAGCCACACUGGGACUGAGACACGGUCCAGACUCCUACGGGAGGCAGCAGUGGGGAAGUUUGCACAAUGGGCGAAAGCCUGAUGCAGCCAUGCCGCGUGUAUGAAGAAGGCCUUCGGGUUGUAAAGUACUUUCAGCGGGGAGGCGGUACCCGCAGAAGAAGCACCGGCUAACUCCGUGCCAGCAGCCGCGGUAAUUC